rnacentral:rRNA from 1 species
AUGACGCAGAAGCAGGCGUCGCCUCAUCAAACUGCAAGUCCGCCACGCCAUAUCCCGGCCCCACCUGACCGACCAAAGUUGCUCUCGGUUUGGGGGCAAAGCGGACAGAAAGCGGACGCCUUUGCGUCCUCGUCGUCCGCCUGUGUCCGCCUCGACCCCACAUGUCACUCUCUCCUUUUCUGUACCUGGCUCACCAUGUGCACCCACGACCACGACAGUCGUGCGGUGGAGUUGGCCUCACAGAGUAGGCCGUGUAUCGAUGGCCUGUUGAAAAGGGAAAGCGGGUCUGGGCCGGGUCGUGGCCGCCCUACCAUCCCGUCUUUUCCCUCGCCUCUCCCCCCCCUAGUCGAAACGAACGAGCGCGUCCGUCGCCACACGUCACGAACGGGCGACCUGAAGCUCAGCUCAGACACACAGAUGAGAGUAAAUUGCACAGAAGUACCACAAUUGGGGCAUUGGAAGCAGAUUGGUACCAAGUUUGUGUAUCUGACCGGCGGGGCCCGCCUGUCAGCUGCCGACGUGGCAUUUUUUUGCAGAAAACCCCCCGCACCUCCUUCGUCCUCAUGCGGGGCGGCGCCUGGUCUGGAUCGAGGGGAGGAUCCCCUCGAGCCCGAGCUCCUCUCGCAUCACCGCCGCCCCCGCUCGCGUCGGAGCUGCCCCUGCUCGCGCCGCCGCGGCCUCUGCUCGCGGCCCAAGAUCGCCGACAGGGCGACGAGCGACGUGGUGGUGCGACUGCGGAUGCCGGACUCGGGCCGGGACGAAUGGCUCUACUGCCACUCCGGCGUGCUCGCCGCCGGGAGCGGCUACUUCGCCGACCGCCUCUCCGACGCCUGGCCGACGUGCCAGAUCCUGCUUGAGGCCGCCGACCCCGUCUCUCGCUUCGGAUUCAGCAGCGCGCUCGCCCUGCUCGAGGCCGCCGCGCACCUCGGCUGCGCCCGCACCGCCGCCGCCUGCGCCGACUACCUCGAGUCCGCCCCCUGGGAUGAGGCCGACGAGGAGGAGAUCCUCGCCGCCAGCCACGCGCUCGCCUUCUUGCUGCCGGGAUACCCGUGCAUGCUGUCCUCCACGGGACGCGGCUCCCUUGCCACUCGGCGUCCCGCUGGUGAGCCCACCGUCGAGCAGCCGCUCUGGCCGUGCCGAGGCGCUUGGGCUCGCGAGUCCUCCCUGGUGACUCAUUCGAGGACGAGCGCGGCGGGAUCUCUUCUCGCUGUCGGUGAUGCGGCCGGUCGGCCAGCGCUGGGGUCUCCGCCGUGCUCUCCUCCCCUCGAUCCAGAUCGAGCGCCGCCGUGCGUGAGGACGAAGGAGGUGCGGGGGGUUUUCUGCAAAAAAAAUGCCACGUCGGCAGCUGACAGGCGGGCCCCGCCGAGCGGGCAAAGAUCUCCUCUGUUUUGUUUAAGCAAAACAAAUCCAAGCGACCGUCCGAGGAAGCUGCGACGAAGCUGCGUCCCCCCUCCCCGCCGCGCGCGGAUCCAGACGUGGACUCGUGGAGGUGGCAACGGCGGUUGGGAGUCGGGCCGGUAUGCAUGCAUCAUCGGGUAUGGCGAGGUGGUGGAGGGAGCCCGCGCGAGUCGGCUGGAGGGUUGCGCGCGGAUGGACGGCCUCGAUUCGAUCAAGGUCAAGGGGGGCAUGGAUCGGCGCUGGCUAGCUCGGGUCACCCAAAGUCACCGACUGGUUUCGAGUCCGCUCCACUCCACCGGCCCCUGCUCCUGUCGUGUCUGUCCAUCCAACCAGAGCCGCAAAACAACGAAAUACCAACAAAUCUCCGUCCAAGUUAGCUACAAACCAAACGAGAUCGAGAUAUGCAUGCAUGGCUCGAUCACUCCCGUCCUGUCCAUCCACUGGUGGCAGUUUGAUUCAGCUACCACACCGGUGGUGCUGGCCUAUCGACAAGACAAGUGCGAUACGGAUCGAAACCCCACAACAAACUCGGUCCAACUUGGUGGCUCCAAACGAAACGAGUCGUUGUCCCUGGCGAUAAGUUGUGUUUGGGCGUUCUCGGCGUCGCUCCUUUGUUGGGACUAUCGUGCAUGGACACAUGAGUUGCAGGUCCUGCGUUGCGUUCCUUCGGUGGCCGUUGCUGUCCAGGUUGAUCUUCAAGGGAUAUAUCCUGCACAUGGGGCCAGUGAGACGCGGCCCCACAUGGCAUCCAGCCAGGGGAAACGACAAGCGCCGCGGUUGGAUGGGGCCUCGUGCGGCCAGCUGUUGCUGCCGCCCACAUCACCGGCCGUGUCCGGCUACAAAUACCACGCUCCCAUCUCCUUCCCCCGACAACCACCACCACCACCACCGCUCGCCGCCACCCACAAGAAUCAAUCGUCUUCCCGUGAUCCCAUUCCGUCGUAG